rnacentral:misc_RNA from 1 species
AAAGCAUUUGAAGGCUGUAGUUCUUUCUAAAUAUGUAGCCUUAAACCCAAUGAAAUGGAGGAAAUGGAUAAUGUUGUGCAACCAGGAUGGUAGAUGCACAUUGCACCAUGGAAGUGUCAUGGACUUUAACCCUAGCCAUGGGAAUUUUACCUAGAUACUAUAAGAUUUGCUUUUGAUCUUUGAUAUUUCGUAGAUAUUAAUGCUAAUCUUAACUGGUUAGUAAUAUUGCCUAGAUGUCAAAAUAGGAUGCCUUUGUUUCAAAAAUUUUGGAAUCUUAUGGAUUGUUGUUCCUAUUUGAUAAUGAAACUGUUUUGAGAAAAUGACCAAAAGGAAAACAAUGGUCAUGUUUGUAACUAGUGUGGAUCCACAUAUGUAUAUCUCUUUUCAUGUCUGCAAACGUAAGACAGGUUUUUACAAGAUCUGGUUUCAAUAAUGCAGAGCCAUUGCUAUUGUUUGUAGAUUAAUUACGCAGAAAAUGCAUGUGCUUUGUAUCUGCAAGUAAGUGCUUUCUUUGUUAUUUUGUGUGUUUAUUCUCUUCUUUCUUGGUUAGGUUUGUGCUUAUGAAAGUAUGCAA